rnacentral:rRNA from 1 species
UAGGGAAUCUUCCACAAUGGGCGAAAGCCUGAUGGAGCAACGCCGCGUGUGUNAUGAAGGCUUUCGGGUCGUAAGCACUGUUGUAUGGGAAGAACAGCUAGAAUAGGAAAUGUAUUUUAGUUUGACGGUACCAUACCAGAAAGGGACGGCUAAAUACGUGCCAG